GAAGGCGAUCUUAGCAAUUCGCAACUCGGGGCCGUAGACUGCUUUGGUCUUUCCUUUGUGUUCAACCAGCUAUCUUUCUAAUAAAAGUUUGGGGCUCUAAUCAGAUGCUGGAGGUUUCUAUUGAAGAUUGUCGUGCCAGGAGCAUCUGUGUGCAGUUUCCUUCCUCUUAUUAUCGUAGCUCAUCUAUGUGGAGUUCGAUUGUGGUGUGCCCUUAGUAUGUGUUCUUUUUCUGUGGUUGUGUCCUCUAUGUAUGAUUUCGCAAUGAUUAUGUCGAUGUCUA
rnacentral:lncRNA from 1 species